GCACGACCGGGAACCGGUGCACGAUCCCAC
rnacentral:sRNA from 1 species